UAAGGUAUAUUUAUGGUCUAUCGUGGA
rnacentral:piRNA from 1 species